UAGGUUACACUGAUAGAUUGUGGCGAUAGCUUGUCUGAUAGCCCGAACCGGAUGCCUGUCCUUGAGGAAGCCCAUCUAAUUAGAGUUAUAGGUGCAUCUAAGAUUUCCCUAUCCUGGACCGUAAGUUUGUUCAGAUGGGCUUCCUGAAGAAAUUUAAGACCGGGCUCAGGAGAAUCAGAAACCCUUUGGUAAAGCGUUUUGAAAUGUGUCGUCAUCAAUGUGGCAAUGUCAGAUGUAUCACGUGCCCACCCGGUGGGUGUUUUGAGUUUCUGAAUGAAAGUAGACCCUUGCUGUCUCUUGACUAUAUUAGCUAAUAAUUUACCUGACCUGUUGCCCCAGCGAUAGAAUCUGUUUGCCGUAUGACUUAAUUUAUGUUGCAUUUGUUCUGUCAAUAAAGUGUUAAAAAGAG